GAUGAACGCUGGCAGCGUGCCUAAUACAUGCAAGUCGAGCGAACAGACGAGGGGCUUGCUCCUCUGACGUUAGCGGCGGACGGGUGAGUAACACGUGGAUAACCUACCUAUAAGACUGGGAUAACUUCGGGAAACCGGAGCUAAUACCGGAUAAUAUAUUGAACCGCAUGGUUCAAUAGUGAAAGACGGUUUUGCUGUCACUUAUAGAUGGAUCCGCGCCGCAUUAGCUAGUUGGUAAGGUAACGGCUUACCAAGGCGACGAUGCGUAGCCGACCUGAGAGGGUGAUCGGCCACACUGGAACUGAGACACGGUCCAGACUCCUACGGGAGGCAGCAGUAGGGAAUCUUCCGCAAUGGGCGAAAGCCUGACGGAGCAACGCCGCGUGAGUGAUGAAGGUCUUCGGAUCGUAAAACUCUGUUAUUAGGGAAGAACAAAUGUGUAAGUAACUAUGCACGUCUUGACGGUACCUAAUCAGAAAGCCACGGCUAACUACGUG
rnacentral:rRNA from 1 species